ensembl:lncRNA
GUGUGAAGUGCUUGGACCAAUGCCUGACCUGGUAAAUGAUCAAUCAGUUUUACUUAUCACUGAUUUCAUUCCCACCUGGAAACUGUGGUUUAGCCAGCUGCACAGUACCUUAAACAAGAAAGCUGAUUAAUAGUCACCUGCUCAACUGCCUGUGAGUGAAACUGCGAGUGACUUCGGGGAACAGCUUCAAGAUGUGGUCACAGGGAAGUUCAAGGAGAAAAUCGUACAGAUAUCCAUUAAUAUCACCAAAGAAAUUUUUGGGACAUACUUGCUUGGGGCUCUUCCAUCUCUCUUCCAUCCUUGGAUUCAGCUCAAGAGACUCCUGG